rnacentral:rRNA from 1 species
AAUACCGCAUGACAUCCCGGGAGGCAUCUUCCUGGGAUCAAAGAUUUAUCGCUGAAGGAUGGGCUCGCGUCUGAUUAGCUAGUUGGUGAGGUAAACGGGCUCACCAAGGCGACGAUCAGUAGCCGGACUGAGAGGUUGAACGGCCACAUUGGGACUGAGAUACGGCCCAGACUCCUACGGGAGGCAGCAGUGGGGAAUAUUGGGCAAUGGGCGCAAGCCUGACCCAGCAACGCCGCGUGAAGGAAGAAGGCUUUCGGGUUGUAAACUUCUUUUAUCAGGGACGAAGGAUGUGACGGUACCUGAUGAAUAAGCCACGGCUAACUACGUGCC